CCCUACGGGGUGCAGCAGGCACUUAUCAACUUACUCCAAAAGUUGAGCUCGACCGUCCGGAAUUGCGGCUCGACUCAGCCCUGCCGGGGUUAAUUGAAGUGGUCAUCACAAGAUAGGACCAAUACAAGUAAACAGGAUUUUUUAUGGAUAAACCAGUAAUCGUGCUCGUCGGAAGACCCAACGUGGGUAAAAGUACCCUUUUCAACCGCCUGGGGGAGCAGCGCCUCGCCAUCAUUGAUGAUGUUCCAGGCACAACGCGCGACCGCUUGGUGGCGGAGGGUGAUUGGGCGGGGCAUACCUUUUUUGUGGUCGACACCGGUGGGAUUGACCCCAGCAAACAGCGCGACCAGGAGCCGCUUUCGAUCGGCUCGGCAGCCGUUAUUGAUGAUAUUCGUUCGCAGGUGGAAUUGGCGGGGGAGC
rnacentral:rRNA from 1 species